ACUACUAUUAUUCUGAACACUACUGUAUGCCGAGCACAGACAGAUGGACAGAUGCACGCACGCAAAGCCUUCACAAUACCCAAUGGCCAUAUUUUGAUGGUCUUGGGUAAAUAUGGUUUCUGCCCAAAUACGUAUGGACCUGACAGUAAUUAGUGGGAGCCAGGCUGUCGUUUUUGUAAGGUUUAAUAAAAGAUAAAUUUGCUAUUUUAUAGUCAAAAGCAUAGUUGAUGAUUUUUAUUUUUCCCCUCUUUGAUUAGUGUCUUUUUAAAUAGUAGUGUUUAACAGUCUUUGAAGAAAAACACUCAAGUUACAAAUCCUGUUUUAUUUACCCAUCAUAUAAUUCUGUGAAUUGUGAUGUGGAACAAGAAAAACAUCAAAACUAUAUUGAUAAUUUUACCAGCAAUUCCUCAUAGAUAUCAGGAUAUGAAAUGUUUCCCCUCCUCAUUAUUUACCUUUGUGUUUAAAUCUUUAUAAAGUAUUUCAGUUUGGCAGGAUAUCUUAAAAAUAAAACAAAAACAGUAAAGAAACCUGAGAAUUGGAUCAGAUAUUGCUGAAAACUGGAAUCAUUUUUAAAUGGGGUAGUAUACACCUUUUUUUUUUUUUUUUGCAAGCUACUACAACUGAGCAUAUGUCUUUUAAAUAAAUGUACAUUAAAGGGUUUGAGCCAAAAAUGACCCCACAGACACAGAGGUGGUGAUUAAAAUCUGUGCCUGUUGCUUUAAAUGGAAAGAAGCUGUUGCUUGCUCCAAGCAUGUCACACCACACCAUGUUUGCUGACACAGAGGGCGUGUCUUACAGGGCAAGCAGGAGUCCAGAUGUGGGCUUCCGUGGCAUGGGUCACAGAUGCCUAAAACAAGUCGUCCCAAAGCUUGCCCUGUCGAGCAGCAGUUAAACCCAUUUUUUUUGGAUUUAGCUCCAGUUAAAGAUAGCACUGCUUUUCUCAGGGUGACCGCCUGUAAAUUUAAUUUUGUAAUCCGGAGGCGGAGUCACGGCAGCAUACGUGCACUUCUGAAGAGAUUGUCACGUCUGCCGAUGAUUACCAGCUCUUGAGCUAUCGAUUCUGCAGCACGUCCUCUGGCCUCUGACACUGAACCAAUCACAGACGUACAUGGAAAACAGAUGGCCUCUUUCCACGUGCAUGUGAAGGUUUACCGGAGCUGAAUCUUCAGCUGAAGUCCGGCACGACUCUGUAGCCGGGGCUCCUGCUGCUGCCCGACUCGUUACCGCUGAGUGGUGUGAACACAGCGGGAAACAACAAAUGCAGUUGUAGCUGUUAGCACCUCUUCACGUCAGAGAUCAUAAGCUACCGUACUAUUUCUGAAAUGUUUUCGGAUCAUUUCAUCCUGGAUAAGCUCGAUCCCUUGUCCCUAGUCAUCCUCUCAAAAGCUUCACAAAGUGCCAACAGAAAGAACAGGAAACUGAAAUGAAAUUGCACUACGUAGCACUGUGCAGACACGUUUUUAUACAUGGAUGGUUUAUAUCCACAAAUUUUGAAGUGCAAAUUUUUUUUAAGCCGGGGGGGCUUGUCACUGCCCGGUGGAGUAAAUGGGGUUUCAGGGAUAAGGGUUUUUGUACCUCUGGGGUCCCCAUUAACAAGCGAUGUGGACAGUUGUGUCUGUGCUAAUGAUAGCUGCGGUUUUGUGGUACCGAGAAGUACAGCGCGGUACUGCGACCGUCGCUCACUUUGCCUUUCCAUAGAGGAGCACCAAUCAGUCGAAGUAAACAGCUACACGUAACAAACACUCGUUAGCAGCUUCCUCCCAACACUCUAUCCCGUAAAACUUUUUUCUGCUUUAUUUACCAACAUCUCGAAUUAUAUUACAUUUUACUGAGUUGAGCAAGUAACUGUGUAGAUGCUGUUACUAGUACAAGACACCACUUUAAAUACUGUCUUUUUUGUUGUUGUUGUUCUUGGUGGUUUGAUCUUUGAUAGAUUGUCGGAUGCAGCCCAUCGGGUCUCUGUCGACCCUCAUUGUAAGCACUUUUAGAUUCCAUCCGCAGGGUUACAGAUGGAUGUGUUUGCUGGCCUUGAUCAGGACUGUUACUGCACAUUAAGGGAGAAGUUACCUUUUUACAACCCUUCUCAUAAAAUAAAGUUAGUAACCAGCCCUCUGAGUACUGCGCUCACCUUGGAUAACUGUCCAUCUCUCUGCUGGAGCCGGGUGAAAUGUGGGUGUGCCUUUGGCCUCCUCCAGCCCCUGUUGUCCUAAACACUGAAACACCUGUGUGUUGGAUCAUCCACAGAGAAACACACCUCAUGUCCAAAACAUUCCCUCACAAUGCAAGUGAUACUCCUCAUGUGAGUCUCCCUAAGUACCACUUACUUGAUACAAAGUCUUUCUAGCGGUACACAAGGAUCUUCCAAUGGGACCCAGCACCACAGACAUCCAGUCAUCUUAGGUUGCUGGUUAGUGUCAGUUCAAUUCAGUUUAUUUUAUUUUAUUUAAAUAGCACCAAAUCACAACAACACUGCUUCAAGGUGCUUCACAUGUGUAAGGUCUAACCUUACAACCACUCCUGAGCAAGCGCACAGGUGACAGUGGUACGUGCUUAGUCUCAGCCUCCAGGUUUUGCAUAGAUAGGGUAUCCUGAGGUCAGUGUGUUUGUCAGUGCCUCAGACAGAGAGAAAAAGAGGAGAAUCAGUCGGCUAGAAAUAACUGUACCUAAGGCAUUAAUACACCAACAGUAAAUCAAGAGGGAAGCAAAGACAUUACGAAAGUGGUUGGAAACAGCUAGCCCUGUACUUCACUAACAGACCCAGAAUUUAGAUGUAGUGAGGCUGAGACCUGUUCCCUUGUUAAUAAUAUGAAUUAGUGUCCAAGUCUCACAAUCAUACAGUAAGAUGGGAAGCACCUGGGCCCUCAUUUAUCAACCGGUGUGUGUAGAAAAGGUUCUGCAUGUUGUCGCACAAAGUGUAGUAUGUGUCUAAGUACAAAAAAUCUAUCUAUUAAACAGAUGCAAGUCGGUCCUACUCUCAUCAUUAAGUAAAUCCCACGUCCAUAAAAUCUCUCCUUAUCAAAUUUGGACAGGAAAAAAAGAUGUGGGCGCAUUUUUAAUAUAAAAUUGCAGGAGGGAUACGAUUUGUUUCAUGCCAGUGUAGCAGGUUGGACUGUACACUUUGUCCAAAUAAUGGUGAUCAUCCACUCGUGCGCCACCAAUAUAUUUACAUUUCAGCAGCAGCAGUGGACUGAUGAAAUAUUAAACGCGUGACUUAGAUCUGAGUCGGGAAACUUUGAUUCACACCUUGUGGCAACAGGCAGCGAUUGAGAUGUUCAAUGUUAAAAGGUUUUAAUUAUUUUUAUUUAAAUAACAAAGUCAGAAGCUGCUGUUGAGUUCACACGUGUCUUUUGUACGUUUUGUCACCAAUGAGGCUACACGUCUGCUUCUAUCUCAACAUUAUUACUAUUUGUGUAGUUAUUAAUUUGAGGCAGUAAAGAAAGUAUGAGGUUGCAUGUUGUGAUGGCAGUAAUGGUUUCUAGUUGCAGUUCCCCUCUUCCACCACUAGAUGCUGUAUGUGUAAGCAUGGUCAGGACAGUGUAUAUUUUACACACAUUUCUAAAUGAAAGUACAAGUAGAUAAAUUCCAUGAAUUGCAUAGAAAUGUUCAAAAACACAGUUUAAGCACAAAUCUGUGUGCACUGUUGAUAAAUGAUGCUCCAAAGACCCAAUGGACUUGAACGUCUGCAUCACUAAACCCCUCUGUCCACUGACUUCUUGACUCCAUGAAGAUGUGUCUUGACCUUAAAGUCAGAACACCCAGAGACGUGACCAUCACUGCCGAGAUAAGUGAAUGUCUCUACAAGUCCAACAAUCCAGGAAAUCACGGCUCUUAGACAAUCACACACUCCAAUUUAAUUAGUCCCUGCAAAUAUUUAAUAAUAUCACCACUAAUAUAUGCUGUAAGUAAUCGUAAAAUUAUAGAGUGCAUUAAUAGUGACACUAUGCAGUUUUAAUGUUUGGUGUGAGUUCAUUUAAAGUGUGAUUCCAGCACUCAGAGGCUUGAUUACAAGCAGUAAUUUUAAUGGGAUUGAAACUGAAAAAAGGAACUUUUUGUUGAAAGUGACACGCCCUCAUCAGUGCCACAUGGUGCGUUCCAAACAGGAACGAUGUCAUGGGGCUGAAAACCAUCAUUUGUGGGUGCUAUUUCUCAUGUAAACAAUAAUGAGGGCAUGGCUUUAGGCUAAACAGCUUCCUGUGAUUGUCAGCAGCUUUGUCUCGUUAGUUGCACUAAACCGGCCUGUGACGACUGAGGCCGGAGCCCCGUCGCCAGGAGCUUGUUUGUAUGAACCGGAAAGAAUUCUAGAUAAAAAGCUGCUCUUGGGCACAAAUUUAAAACUUUCUGAAAAUUUCCAGCUUGAAUGUCUGGUGAAUUUUUGUUAUUAUUAUUAUUAUUGUUAUUAUUUUCCCCUUGUAAAAUUGAUGGACAAGUGCAGCUUCUACCUGGAAAACGUGACCUGGAGCUCGGAAUUGACCAUCGAUGGGCAUGCAGGGAAAAUGGAGAGUAAGAUUUGACGGGAAGCAGGCCGACUGCCACGAUGCGGAUGAAUGUGCAGUGUCAGGUUUUUCUUGUACAUAUGCAACAUUAAGAGCUGCAAGGCUUUUUUUCCUGUAUGUUUUCUUUGUUGUUGUAUUUCUGUUAUAUGAAAAGGAAUUUUUUUUAACAGUACCGUUUGCUCAGAAUAUGUUUUCCUUUUUUAAGUCCAUUGAGAAGCUAUAGUGAAUAUAACACGUAAUGAUUCAGUGUAUAUUGCAGCUUGUAGACAAAGGGGAGAAAAAGAAAACUUGUUGAAUGUAAAACCUAAAAAAGAAAAGUUUGUCUCUCUCUCGCCGUGGCUCGUUUGUUCUGUCUGUAGUGAAUCCGUAUCCGGAACUUUAAUCACUAACAGACAGUUGCUGCCGCUCUGCAAAAUAAUAAAUCCCACAACCAUGCAGUAUUGCUUUAUGUACUAGCUUACUUUGUGCAAUGAGAUGCUUUAUGUUGGAACAGUAUAUCUGUGACGUCGCUCACACGUUUCUCUCUCCCUGCCAAAAAGUCAUUUUCUCUGAAUAUGCGCGAUUAUCAAGUUGUUCGGCGGGAACACCUUUGACUUUUUGGGGGGGGGGGGUCAUGAUGGAAUCUUUUGGGGGGUAACAACCCUGCCCUGCACAUUCCAGCAGACAGCACACUUUAGUCUUCCACUUCUUUUGUUGUAGCCCCGUUUUGUUUUUUGUCUCCCCCACUACUGCAACGCUCCCAACGUCACGUCGUUUUCAGCUUUACUGUGGUCCCACACAAGCCUUUACCCAGUGUAUUAAGCUAAGUAAACCCUUCAAAUGUGCAUCAAACAGGCCUUGGUUUUGCCAAAUGUGUGCGCUGCUUUCAUCAGUGUCCGUGCGAAAGUGAGCAGUGGCAAAGCCGAGGGAUCUCCUUCCAAAUAUAAACGUAACGCAUCGCAAAGGCAGCUCCGCUUGAUUUUCUGCAUCUUUUACUGUGCUCUUAUUGUUUGUCCAGUUUUCACCUUUUACCCUUUUACUUCCUUUGCCCCAUGAUCCUUUUUGUCGUCAUGUUGUGUUUUUACUGGCUGGUGUGAAAACUGACUUUUUAUUUUUAUUUUUUUUUUUUCUUUCUUUCCUGUUUUGUUUGUUUUUGGGUCAUUGAUUGACUGGUUGACCUUGAGGUUGUUUUGCAUGUCUAGCAUCGCUCCUUUUUGUAAAAAAUUUUUUUUUUUUUAUUAGGAGACACAACACUGAAGGGUUUUAUGUGUUAGACUUCCCCUAUCAGCAGCUGAUGAUCUGAGGCCGAUUUAGCUGGUUUUCCUCUGAAUAUAAAAACGUACACACCAUGCUUAAAGCAUUUUGAGGGAACAGAGACAUCGGCUUUAGAUCAUCGCUGGAGGGAAGGAUUUCUCCUGCGUGUGGGCUCGGGCUCGGGCGUUCAUCAGCAGACCCACGCACAACGAGAAAGCACUUUGUGAGAAGUGGUGCACUCAAGGUGUGUUUGUGUGAAUGUCAAGCCUACAAGUAGCGCUUGAUAAGUUGGAUGACCAUGUAUGAUGCUGAUAAUGUGAUCUAUGUGAUGUAAUGUGACAGAAUGAAAAUAAACCUGAAUGGAAGAAUUCUGCA